UACGGGGGGGGCAAGCGUUGUUCGGAAUUACUGGGCGUAAAGAGUUCGUAGGCGGCGCAGAAAGUAGGGUGUGAAAGCCCUCGGCUCAACCGAGGAAUUGCGCUCUAAACUACUGUGCUUGAGGAAUCUAGAGGUGAGCGGAACUGAUGGUGGAGCGGUGAAAUGCGUUGAUAUCAUCAGGAACACCGGAGGCGAAGGCGGCUCACUGGGGAUUUUCUGACGCUGAGGAACGAAAGCCAGGGGAGCGAACGGG
rnacentral:rRNA from 1 species